AUGGAAUCUGAGGCUGAGGCGAAUACUGUUAUACCAUUGCAGAGCCAUGACGUGCAAUCUGAUGCAGAAUCAACUACUCGAGUUAAUCCACCUCUCGAUAUAGGGUUUUUCACACCAACAAAAUCCACAAGCAUCCCCACAUGUGAUUCAUUCUACACACCAGAUUGUGAUGAAUCCAUAACUCCAACUAUUGGGAUGUAUUUUUCUGAUGUGAACACGGCAAAGGAGUUCUAUGAGGUAUAUGCACACCAUGUUGGGUUUUCAGUCCGUGUGGGCCAACACAAGUCAUCCAAUGGUGUCAUGACGCACAAGCGAUUCAUGUACGCGAAAGAAGGUUUCCGUGAGGAGAAGAUGGGUAAUAUAAUUUCUGAACCUGGCACCAAAAGAAGACGUGAAAGAAAAAUUACUAGGUGUGGGUGCGGGGCAAAAAUUGCAAUCAAGCAUACAGCGGAUGGUCGGUAUAUUGUCACCGUCUUUGAGCAAGUGCAUAACCAUGUACUUGUUUCCCCUAGUAAGCAGCAGUUCAUUAGGUCUAACAGGAAAGUCAGUUGUAAGGCGCAGAGUACAUUGUUCAAUUGCCAUAGUGCUUGCAUUGGGACUUCAGCGGCAUACCGGUUACUUUGUGUAGGUUUGGGGGGUUUCCAACAUGCCGGAUGCACAAAAAAAGAUCUCCAAAAUUUCCAUAGAACCCUCAGGUGCCACAUAAAGUCUUCUGAUGCUCAAAUGUUCAUCGACCAACUAGGCAGAAAGAAUCUUGCAAAUCCUGGGUUUUAUUUUGACUAUGUUAUUGAUGACAAGGGAAGGUUGGUCCAUGUGUUUUGGGCGGAUGCCACUAGUAGGAAUAAUUACAAACAUUUUGGCAACCUUGUCUCUUUUGACUCAACAUACAGCACAAAUGAAUACAACAUGAUAUUUGCCCCCUUCACUGGAGUGAAUCAUCACAAAGGAAGUAUCUUGUUUGGUGCUGCAUUCCUACAUGACGAGAAGGUAGCUUCUUUCGUUUGGUUGUUUCAGACUUUUUUAAAAGCAAUGGAAGGGGUUGAGCCUACUCUUAUGAUAACAGAUGAAUGUGCUAGCAUGAUUUCUGCAUUACAUACUGUAUUCCCAACAACCACACAUAGGCUAUGCAUGUGGCACAUUAUGAAGAAAGUUGGAGAAAAGGUGUCCCCUGAUUUGAAGUCCAACGAAUAUUUCCAUGACCAUUUAAACUUAGUCGUGUGGGCUUCUGAGACUCCUAGUGAAUUUGAGGAGCGAUGGUCCCAUGUCAUCGAAGAGUUUGGAUUGGAAGAAAAUGAGUGGUUCACUAAAAGGUUUGAGCUUCGAGAAUCUUGGAUACCAGCUUAUUUCAAUGAUAUAGCUCUCUCUGGGCUGCUCAGAACCACAUCACGAUCUGAAAGCGCCAAUGCUUUCUUCUCUCGCAUUAUUGGAUACAAGCAUGCUUUCGUUGAGUUUUGGCUUCGUUUUGAAACUGCCUUGGAGGAACAACGCCACAAGGAGCUAGAAGAUGAUAAUGUUAGCUUGCACACAUCACCUCCAUUAAAGACAUCUUGGGGAUUAGAAAAGCAUGGGAGCAUUGUAUUCACCCAUGAGGUAUUUACAGAAUUUCAGAAGGAGCUACUUGCUGACAGAGAGCAUAACACAAGAUGA
rnacentral:rRNA from 1 species